rnacentral:misc_RNA from 1 species
GGUUUUACCAUCUGGGGUUUGGCUUAAAAUUGGUUUAUAAUCCACAGAACCCUCCACUAGGGUUUCUGAAAUCUUCUGUGUUUCCAUUACUAACAAAUACCUUAAAAGUCUCAAACUUUACCACAAAUCAAAAGCUAACCCUCAGUUCAUCUCUUCUUUCUCUGUUCUUCUUCUGCCACAGCAAUCAAAAGGGGUGUUCUUUCUUGUUUUGUGGUAUAUCAAAAUGGGGUUUUUUUGGGGUUAAAUCUUGUAGAUUUCAGUGUGUUUUUGUGUUGUAUGUGAGUCGGUGUUACAGCUCUCCUUUAGCCUAACAAGUGAGUAGC